UACGGAAGGCAGCAGGGGGAAUAUUGCACAAUGGGCGCAAGCCUGAUGCAGCCAUGCCGCGUGUAUGAAGAAGGCCUUCGGGUUGUAAAGUACUUUCAGUCGUGAGGAAGGUGUUAAGGUUAAUAACCUUAGCAAUUGACGUUAGCGACAGAAGAAAGCACCGGCUAACUCCGUGCCAGCAGCCGCGGUAAUACGGAGGGUGCGAGCGUUAAUCGGAAUUACUGGGCGUAAAGGGCACGCAGGCGGUUAAUUAAGUUGGAUGUGAAAUCCCCGGGCUUAACCUGGGAAUGGCAUUCAAGACUGGUUAGCUAGAGUCUUGUAGAGGGGGUAGAAUUCCAUGUGUAGCGGUGAAAUGCGUAGAGAUGUGGAGGAAUAACCGGUGGCGAAGGGCGGCCCCUGGACAAAAGACUGACGCUCAUGUGCGAAAGCGUGGGGAGCAAACAGGGAUUAGAUACC
rnacentral:rRNA from 1 species